GGUUCGAUGGCGUAGUUGGUUAUCGCAUCUGUCUAACAUCGUUGUAGGGGGUUCCAUUGAUCAACCAAUUGAAGCACCCUAAUGUUCACAGAAGGUCCUCAGUUCGAGCCUGGGUCGAAUCA